rnacentral:tRNA from 1 species
GGGAGCGUAGCUCAGCUGGUUAGAGCAGGCGUCUUAUACACGCCCGGUCGGGGGUUCGAGUCCCUCCGCUCCUACCA